GGUCAAAGAAAAAAGGGCACAGGGUGGAUGCCUUGGCGUUAGCAGCCGAAGACGGGCGUGGCAAGACUGCGAAAAGCCUCGGUGAGCUGUCUAGCAAGCCUAGCCGAGGAUACCCUAAUAGGAGAACCUGCCUGGGUAAAACCCGGGCUCUCGCCUAAAGCGAGAGGGAACCAGGAGAACUGAAACAUCUUAGUAUCCUGAGGAAGAGAAAUCAACGAGAUUCCCGGAGUAGUGGCGAACGAAAUGGGAACAGCCUAAACUUGAGUGGCUUAGUGGGCUUGGGCUCUAUGCCAUUCAAGGGUUGUAAGACACAAGAGACAGGGCUCAAGACCUGUCACAGAGUAAGAAAACUUCCGCCUAGUCAAAGGUCUCUGGAAAGAGCAACCAAAGAGGGUGAUAGUCCCGUAGACGACAGGCCGAAGUCUCUGCUUGUGUUCUUAAGUACCACGGGACACGAGGAAUCCCGUGGGAAUCUGGGGUGACCACACUCCAAGGCUAAAUACUGCUAACGACCGAUAGUGAACCAGUACCGUGAGGGAAAGGUGAAAAGCACCCCGGGAGGGGAGUGAAAUAGAACCUGAAACCUUGUGCCUACAAGCAGUCAAAGUCCCGAUUUUAUCGGGAUGAUGGCGUGCCUAUUGAAGAAUGAGCCGGCGAGUUGAUCUAUGUGGCUAGGUUAAGUAACUACGUUACGGAGCCGUAGCGAAAGCGAGUCUGAAUAGGGCGUUCAGUCGCAUGGAUCAGACACGAAACCGUGUGAGCUACCCAUGGCCAGGGUGAAACCUGACUAACCUCAGGUGGAGGCCCGAACCCGUGUACGUGGCAAAGUGCUGGGAUGAGCUGUGGGUAGAGGUGAAAUGCCAAACGAACUCGGAGAUAGCUUGUUCUCCCCGAAAUGCAUUUAGGUGCAGCCUCAGGUAAUAACUUAUGGAGGUAGAGCACUGGAUGGGCUCGGGGCCGUGAGGUUACCAAACUCAACCAAACUCCGAAUGCCAUAAGUUCAUAUCCUGGGAGUGAGACUGCGCGGGAUAAGCCGCGUAGUCGAGAGGGAAACAGCCCAGACCAUCAGCUAAGGUCCCGAAACGCGGGCUAAGUGGUAAAGGAAGUGAUAUCGCUAAAACAGCCAGGAGGUUGGCUUAGAAGCAGCCACCCUUUAAAGAGUGCGUAAUAGCUCACUGGUCGAGUGGUGUCGCACCGAUAAUAUAACGGGGCUAAAGCCCGCUACCGAAGCUAUGGUUCCCCGAUUUCAUCGGGGAAGGUAGGGGAGCGUUGCUAUAGCUGAAAAGCCCUGGCGUAAGCCAGAGUGGAGCAAUAGCAAGUGAGAAUGCCGGCAUGAGUAGCGUAAAGGCAUGUGGAAAUCAUGCCCACCGUAAAUCUAAGGUUUCCUACGCAAGGUUGAUCCGCGUAGGGUUAGUCGGGCCUAAGCCGAACCCCAAGGGGAUAGGCGAUGGACAAUGGGUCAACAUUCCCAUACCACCUAAUCAUUGUUUUAAGGCAAAGGGGGGACACAGUAGGAUAGGCUGAGCGUACCUAAUGGACAUGGUGCGUCUCCAAUCUAAGGCGUGUUGGGGCAGGCAAAUCCACUCCAACGUCAAGCUGAGGAGCGGGGGAAAUCGAGGGGAAACCUGAAAUGAUUCAGUUGAGUCCACACUGUCCAGAAAAGCCUCGUUGCUAAAGGAUUAGGUGCCCGUACCGCAAACCGACACUGGUAGAUGGGGGUAAGAGUCCCAAGGUGUUCGAGAGAACCCUCGUUAAGGAACUCGGCAAUCUAACCCCGUAACUUCGGAAGAAGGGGGCCCGCUGUAGAAGCGGGGGCACGAAACUGGCCCAGGCGACUGUAUAACAUAAACACAGGUCUCUGCCAAAGCGAAAGCUGAGGUAUAGGGGCUGAUACCUGCCCAGUGCCGGAAGGUUAAGGGGAGAGGUCAUCCCGACUUGUCGGGAGAAGCUUUGAGCCGAAGCCCCGGUGAACGGCGGCCGUAACUAUAACGGUCCUAAGGUAGCGAAAUCCCUUGUCGGGUAAGUUCCGACCCGCACGAAAGGUGUAACGACUUGGGCGCUGUCUCAACGAGGGACUCGGUGAAAUUGAAAUGGGGGUGAAGAUGCCCUCUACCCACAACUGGACAAAAAGACCCCGGGAGCUUUACUAUAUCCUGGCAUUGGACUCGAGUUGAGCAUGUGUAGGAUAGGUGGGAGGCUGUGAAGCUGAGGCGUCAGCCUUAGUGGAGCCAACGGUGAAAUACCACUCUUGUUUGAUUUUGGUUCUAACCUGCCUUCGGGUGGGAACCGUGCCAGGUGGGUAGUUUAACUGGGGCGGUUGCCUCCUAAAAGGUAACGGAGGCGUCCAAAGGUCCCCUCAGCACGGAUGGAAAUCGUGCAUCGAGUGUAUUGGCAUAAGGGGGCUUGACUGUGAGACCUACAAGUCGAGCAGAGACGAAAGUCGGGCAAAGUGAUCCUACGGUUCCGUGUGGAAGGGCCGUAGCUUAACGGAUAAAAGCUACCCCGGGGAUAACAGGCUUAUCUUGCCCAAGAGUUCACAUCGACGGCAAGGUUUGGCACCUCGAUGUCGGCUCGUCGCAUCCUGGGGCUGAAGCAGGUCCCAAGGGUUGGGCUGUUCGCCCAUUAAAGCGGCACGCGAGCUGGGUUCAGACCGUCGUGAGACAGGUCGGUCUCUAUCCGUUGUGGGCGCUGGAGAUUUGAGGGGAGCUCUCCCUAGUACGAGAGGAUUGGGAGGGACAGACCUCUAGUGUGCCAGUUGUCCUGCCAAGGGCAAUGCUGGGUAGCCAUGUCUGGAUGGGAUAAGCGCUGAAAGCAUCUAAGUGCGAAGCCCACCCCAAGAUGAGAUCUCCCACCCCGACUUCGGUCGGGGGUAAGACCGCAAGUAGAUAACUUGCUUGAUAGGCAGCAUGUGUAAGCGCAGUAAUGCGUUGAGCUGAGCUGUACUAAUGGUCGAGGUCUUUGACCUACA
rnacentral:rRNA from 1 species